rnacentral:rRNA from 1 species
GGACUUAAAAAGCUUGCUUUUUAAGUUAGCGGCGGACGGGUGAGUAACACGUGGGCAACCUGCCUGUAAGACUGGGAUAACUUCGGGAAACCGGAGCUAAUACCGGAUAAUCCUUUUCUACUCAUGUAGAAAAGCUGAAAGACGGUUUACGCUGUCACUUACAGAUGGGCCCGCGGCGCAUUAGCUAGUUGGUGAGGUAACGGCUCACCAAGGCGACGAUGCGUAGCCGACCUGAGAGGGUGAUCGGCCACACUGGGACUGAGACACGGCCCAGACUCCUACGGGAGGCAGCAGUAGGGAAUCUUCCGCAAUGGACGAAAGUCUGACGGAGCAACGCCGCGUGAGUGAUGAAGGUUUUCGGAUCGUAAAACUCUGUUGUUAGGGAAGAACAAGUACGAGAGUAACUGCUCGUACCUUGACGGUACCUAACCAGAAAGCCACGGCUAACUACGUGCCAGCAGCCGCGGUAAUACGUAGGUGGCAAGCGUUGUCCGGAAUUAUUGGGCGUAAAGCGCGCGCAGGCGGUCCUUUAAGUCUGAUGUGAAAGCCCACGGCUCAACCGU